UGGAGGGUUCGCCUAGUGGCCGAUGGCGCUGGUCUUGAAAACCGGUAAGGGGGCAACCUCUUCGUGGGUUCGAAUCCCACACCCUCCGCCC
rnacentral:tRNA from 1 species